rnacentral:rRNA from 1 species
GAUGAACGCUGGCGGCGUGCCUAAUACAUGCAAGUCGAGCGAACAGGCGAGGAGCUUGUUCCUACGACAUGAGCGGCGGACGGGUGAGUAACACGUAGGGAACCUGCCUAUAAGAGGGGGAUAACAUUUGGAAACGGAUGCUAAUACCGCAUAAUAUUUCUAAACACAUGGUUCAAGAUUGAAAGAUGCCAUUGCAUUAACUAAUGAUGGUACCUCCGUCGAUUUGGCAAUUUGUGAGGGUAAGGGCUUACAAAGGCAACGUACCUAAGCCACCCUAGGAGGGUGAUCGGCAAAAUUGGAAUUGAGCAACGGCCCAGACUCCUACGGGAGGCAGCAGAAGGGAACCUUCCGCAAUGGGCGAAGGCCUGACGGAGCACCGCGGCGUGAGUGAUGAAGGUUUUCGGAUCGAAAACCUCUGUUAUUAGGGAAGAACAAAGGUGUAAGUAAAUGCGCACGAAUUGACGGUACCUAAUCAGAAAGCCACGGCUAACUACGUG